rnacentral:lncRNA from 1 species
CCUUGACGGGUGCUGUGGUCAUUUUCACCCUUAUCAAGGGGUGGUAGAGAAAGUCUGGGGAUCUUUACGAGGGGCUUCAUGAACUGCCGUGUGCAUGUGCUUCUGUACACGUGUCAGUGAGAAGGAAGGACAAAGGAUGACAUUGUGGCUGUAAAUCAUGGCUGGGAGAGAGUGAUAGGGACAGAGAAUCAUCAUGUGCACACACAGGAGAAAAAUGGAGGAAAUCUGUCCACCAGUUGAUAAAAAUGUGUCAUGAGGCAAGAAGUCCCCAAAUCACUCAGUGUCUCAGGUCUCAGAACUGCCUGACGGAUUACAGGUUGGAAAAUUUAGGUCAGGCAGGGCUCCGUUCAUCACCCACAGCCACAGCAAUGAAGGGGCGGAACCAAACAUGGAUCCCUCCUGGAUGGGACAGUGUCCCUUGACCCCACCUGACCCCACGCUGCCUCGGCAGGCACACCCAGGGGCAGUGCCUACUGCCUUUUCAGCUGGCCACCAUUUUGCCCACGAAGUCUGAUGCUGUAACUCCCAGAGUCCCCUGGGCAUCUGUGUUGGUCAGCUGUCCAUCGCUGUGAAAAAAAGACCAGAGAGAAAAUACUUAGGGGGAAAGGUUUACCUGGGCUCGGAUUUCAGAUUUCAGAGGUUCCGGUCAUGAUGGGCCAUGCCCAUUGCUUCUGGCCUGUGGCGCGGCAGACAGCCGUGGCAGGGAGGGUGUGUUGGAGCAGAGCUGCUCCCCUCAUGGUGGCCAGCAAGCCAAAGAGAAGGGAAAGGGGCUGGGAAAAAUGUCCCCUUCCAGGGCACACCCCCAGGCCCUGCUUCUCUAAUGAGGUCCUAAGCCUCCACUGCCCCCGAAACACCAGCAGCUGGGGACCACACCUGCACACGGGGGCCUGGGUGGGACAUUCCAGGUCCUCAGUGGCCUCUGACUGAGUGAGGACUGGACAAGCAGCCUGCGAGAACCACAGAGGCCAUGAGUGUCAUCCCCCCAAGGCUGAGGGUCAGAGAGGUGAACUGCAGCAGUGUGGAGCCCCUGGGCAGCUGCUGGCCGGCCGAGAGUGCCCGCCACUGACAUCUCCUUGCCUCAAAAGGUGGCUUUGAGUCUCAGUUGGAAUAUUGAGAACAGGCCACACUUGUCCUCCCCACUCAUUUAUUAAAACACGGUCCCUCUGUUCCAGGCAUCGGCCUCAGCUUCAUGCAUACAGUCCCCAGCACCCAGCCACGUCCUCCAGUGGUAUGACAUUGACAUUGGCAUGCAAAAUAUACAGCAUGUCAGAGGCUGGUAAAAUUACAGAUAAAAAUAAAGCUGAGGCACAGUGCUGCCUGCUCCAAGGUCGAGGCUGGAUUGCAGCUUUAAACAGGACCAUCAGGGAAGGUCUGACUGACGAGGUGAAAUUGAGCAGAGACCUGAGGAGAUGAGGAGUGCAGUUGCCAGCCCUCUGGUCAAAGUCGUUGGAUAUGAUGGUCCAUUUUAAACCCCUGCACUGCUAGUCAAAUUUUAUCCUUGCAGAAACUUUUCAGGAAGUUUCCAAGAACUUUUCCUCCAAAGGAGAACGCAGUAGCCACUCUGUGUUAAAAGCAGAGAGGGAUGAGCAGAUCGGGCUGUAAACCCUGCAAUUUAUUAUGCACCAGCUCAGGUGGGGACAUAACUACGCCCUGUUGCCUGCACACAGACGAAGCUCUGUGCACCAAAAUGUAGAAUGCGGAAGCCCGGGUCUCAGGAAGAAAGUCAAGGUGUCCUCAAGCCGCCUAGGAGCUGUGUGAUCACAGCAGUCACUUAGAAUGCUGGAGUCUCAGGCUCUCAGCAUGAUAGAGAAGAACCUCUUCAGCUAUGUUCCACCUGCAGAGCAGCUACGGGCAAAGGAAGAAGACAGGCUCAUACUCUGAAAUCAGGCCCCUGAGGGGGCCCAGAUGGGCGCAGGAGGCUCUGGGCUGGGAAAGCUGUGGUCUCUGCACUUCAGUAGCAUGUGAGAGGAUCCCAGCAAAGGAGUGAGUGAUGCCAAGAGGGACUUCCGGCUUGGACAGUGGUGGGUAACUCCACUGGAAGCCUCCUGCAUGCCAACAGGCGGGGCUGGACUUCACUUCCGCCUUCCCAGAGUCCCAUGAAGCCUUAAGAAGAGGACAGGAGAGCCUCACAGCACAAGGCCAGUGAGCAGAGGUGGAGGACCCUCUGGUCUCCAAGGUGUGCUAUGUCCCAGGAGCUCUGGAGACUGGACCAUAAGGUCUGCAGGUGAUCUGUCACUUGAACCCUUGUGAAAUUGGUACCCCUCAGGGAACAGUGAGCUAGGAGAGAAAAUCCCACCCACCUCCAACCUCAGGGAACCAGGAAGUUGUCCUCCCAGGUCCUGGGAAUAAAAUGGCAGGAGCCAUGGAGAAUGGGAAGCCCCUCGCCAAGUCGGGGUCACCGCUGGGCACACUAUGGGGCAAACACACAUCCCCCGGGGACUCAGUCCUCCCCAGCCGUCCCCUGUGACCUCCACAGGUUCUAAGAAACCCAAGGAAUCCUGGAAGUAGUGAAGUCAAAUAAAACACAGGAAGGGGGAGAGGAGCCAGCAAACGACCAGCAGACAGAAGCAGCCCAGGCCCGGACCCUGCCUGUGAAGGGACACGGCCCGUGUUCCCGUCUGUGGAAACGGCUGCCUGUGUAGAGCAGGAAGGAGAUGACCCCAGCAGAAGACGGGCAGCCCUCACUCAGCACCCAGGGUGGAGCCGCUCGCCCACCAGACCUCGCUGUCAAUGGGUGCCUUUAGCGGAAGUCGUCAAUGAGGAUUGGGGCCAGUAAGAGUGGACAAAAGGUCCCAGUUAAUGGUCCACAGUACGCAGUGUGACUCAGACAUGGGAAAUAGGAAGAGAAGAUUCAGAGGAGUAGGGGAGUGACAUGAAGAGUCGCUGUGGUGACUUCUAGGAGAAUGUGGAGGAGGGGAGGAGGGAGAGUGGAGAUAGAACACAGGCAGGAUGGCCAAGGAGGGCGUCUUGGAGCUCAAGACCCCCAGGAGUUACCAGACACUGAGGCCAUGAAUGCCAGUCAAGAUAAAUAAAAACAAGUAUCAAGGUGCCUCAGGGAAGAGCCCUAAAAUUCAAGGGAAGAGAAGAUUGUAAAUGCAUCCAGAUUACUUAGGAGAAAAUGUCUCACAGCAGCAGCGUGUGAACAUGGCGAGAAUGGAAACCAGAGGAAAGUGGUUCUGUCUUCAAAGAGACACACAAGGUGACUCCAACUGUGGCACAUCCUUCAGAUCAGAGGGUCACACCUGGCAGGACUUACCUCUUGAGAAAGCUGCACCCCCCCCCCCCCCCCCGCAGAUAUAGGUACCUGUUCCAGGAGGGAGGGGAACCACAGGACAGAGACAUCCUGGGCUGGCCAGUGACCCUCAGCAAAGCGCUGUCCACACAAAAUAGCAAGGAACAUUUAGUUCAGACAUCUACAAUGCUCUUAAUUAAUCACCACACAGGUGUUAAGAAUGAAGGGACAAUUCCAGGCAGCUGCGUCAGGUCAAGAGCAGGUGGUGGGGACAGCCUUGGGCCAGGCACAGGGCUUUGGAAGGUGAGGGAUACCAGCCCCUUUCCUGGAGGACCCGGCCACAGAUGGCUACAGAGGUGCAGCCCUCGCAGCCUCUGUGCGCAUGACCCCAGCCCUCACCCAGCCCCAGUCUGCUCUCCAGCGCACCCAGGGACUGCCCUCCUGGCUUCCCGCCUGCACACCUCCGCAUCCCAUGGAGGUGUGCAGGCGGAAGAUCUCCUAAGAUCACCUGCAGCAAGGACCGCCACCUUCAAGGCCAACCCCCAGCUCCUCUGUCUGGCCUGUCGGUGGCUCUUCUAUUCCCGCCUUCUCUUUCCAACCCCAACUUCAGCUUGUAGGGUUGGUCCCCAGCUGAGCGCCCCUCCCUACCUGUGCCUGAGCACACAGGAGGAGCACACGCAUGCCCACACCUGCACACUCCACAUCCACAUGCACACACGUGCUGCUGUGGUCCAGUGUCCUCCGUCACGACCUCUCCCUGCCACCCAGACCUUAUGGGAGGCUGUUGCCCCAUGAAGCUGGGUCUUCUGGGAAGCCUCCCUGCCCACCUUUUCCCUCUGCCUGUCUGGGUUGCUAUGGACUGAAGAACUAUGUUCCCAAGUCCCCAUGGCAAACCCUUUUUCUGGCUUCAAGAAAUGUACCCUUGGCCAAUUUGGCCCAUCACCCGCAUUAGGAGUUCUCAUGAAGACAUCCCUGGGUGGUCCUCUCAGUAACCACACAUAAUUGAGAAAUUGACUUUUUUUG